AAGAUUAAACGGAGUUUCUCUCAUUAAAGCUUUACAAAUACCUUUUAAAUCCUAGUGCUUUUAAUGUAUGAGACAGCUGUGGAUGGCCCAGUACGCAGCCUAUGUAUACAGCACCCUACAGGACAAAAUAUGUAUGACUUGAGUAGUCACUGCGUGCAGCUGAAAAUGAGUGUAGUGUCACAGGAGGUUAUUUGAGGAUGAAUUGAAUAUGUUCCAGGGGAAUGUUUCUGGGGAAGUCUCUUGUUUCUAGACUGUCCUGGUGCUCUGUGGACAGGCUCCCGGCCGUGUGUUGUCUGUGCAGGUGUCCAGCAGGCCCCUUCCUCUUCUUUAUUUAUUUAUGUCCUCUUAAGGUUUGAUUACAGAACUCUCCGGUAGACAUGUGGUACCCCACCUUACUGUUUAACUACAGCAGCAGUUUGCAGCUGCUUAGUUUCGUAGAUUGUACAAAGAUAGCGUUCUUUUUUACCACAGAGAGUGUCUGUCUCCCAAAGGUGAUGUUGUCUUUAAGCACAGAGUGUGCCUUUUGAAGUCAUGGUAUUUCAAACCCUUUUUUUCUUGCAGCUUUGUGUUUCAAAGAGCCCAGGCAGGUUUGUGACGUACACUGAUGUUCAGGCGUCCUACAGAUACAAACGUGAUCAGUGGAAUUACUUCAAGCAGUUCUGCAAGCCCCAUGGUAACAGUCCUCACAAGGUCUGUAUGUAUCAGGAGGUGAUGGAAUACUUCCAUGUGGUUGCAGCACUGUGGCAAGUGUCCUUUAGUACUUAAGUACUCCAUAGCAGUAGAGCAGAGUGUCUCAAACCAGUUCUUAAGGCUCCUGAGUCAUAUAGAGCUCCUCAGUAAUUCAGCUAGGAAAAGAAGUCUGUCUUUCAUGGAAGUGAUUUUGGACUCAAAUGUACUGUGUUAUUUCUCCUAUCUCUAAACCACCUUGCAAUUCAGCUAUGUUAGUUGUGUUAAAUUCUUACUCUAAGAGAAAAGCACGGGGGAAGCGAGCAACGAUCACCCAGUCAUUGCUGCCUCACCUGCCGAUCCAAAGUGAACAGGUCUUUUCUGUCACUAGAAAAGUAAAGAAUAGUCUCUUCCCAAAUCACAUUGAGAGAGGUUGGAUUCUCACAUCAUGAAUGUGUCUUGCAGCUCCACCAGUCAAGUUUGGGAAGGAGGCUACAGAGUCCAUUUUGGGGCAUUUUCUCAGAGUGUGUAAGAAACAAAAUUAAGUUAUUCUGCUGUGUAUUCAACAUUCCGAUAUUUCCCCUUUUUAGUCUGCUGCUCAAGUCCUUCAUGAUGAAGAUUGUCCUUUGAUGAUCAUUCCAAGCAGGCCUUAGAGCCAUCCAUGGACACUCAGAGUGUGAUUGGGUCAAACUGAGCUCUUUCUUGCUCUUAAAUUAUCACUGAUAAGAAAUGCUUUACAGCGCAAACUGUGCCUUCUAAAACAUGUGAGCACCCAACCCA